GGCAACUGUUAAAAUGCAACAUUCCAUCCUGGCUAACAACUGCUCUCAGUUCAGUUCAACAGUUCAACCACAUGGAGAAGCAAAACUACAGCAAGUUCUCCUGUUUCUGGGAGACAGAGCCCGUAGGCUGUAGGAGGAUAAGUUGUGACUUCUUUCACAGAAAACCCCGUAAUAUAAAUGGACUUUAUUUGCCACCUAGUAACAAUGCCCCAUUGAAACAGGAUGUCCAGGGAGGCAUUCUGCAUCCAGCCCAUCGGCAGGACUCACUCAGAAAUCAAGAGAAUGUUUUAGUACCAAUUCACCCUCCACUGAUUAUAAACCUCAGUGAUGAAGAGGAUGAUGAAGAAGAUGAUCAAGAGGAUGAUGAUGAGGAAGACAGCUAUGUUUCGAACUGGAUGCCUAAGACUGUUAUAGAUAUUGAAGAGGAAAGAGCAAUAAGGGAUAUAUGCUAUAAAUCUGGAGAGUAUUAUGGGAUUCAGAACCCUUACAAAUACCAAUCAACAAAACCUGUGACUUCACCAUGGCAAGAUGAGUUAUUACCCUUGGAAACUACUGAACAAAACUUGCAGAAAGGUGAUGGUAACACAAUUCCUACAAGAUUUAAUAAUACAAGAAAAGAAAAAGAGAGUUCAGAAAGGAGGGUAUCAAUAGAGAGUAUUCCCAGAACAGAUCAUAAAUCCUUUGACAAUGGAGGGUGCUCUCGAGUACAGAUAACUUUGAGAGACUCCUUUCCUGCAGGAGGUGGUGGUUCUGUGCUGCAGAGGAGCACAUUUGUUGAUGGGAACAGAUUUGAGGCACUACCUCGGGAAAAAGGACCAAUUACAUCAAAAUAUUCCAGUGUGAAAGAAACAAGCCACACUGAGGUGAUAAAGAACCACCACUGCAAGGAAGUAAAGGAAAAUAAAAGGAUUUCUGAGGAGCGAAGAAAUUCAGCUAAUGCAGUAACUGGCAAAGGAAUUCACACUCCAGACCCCAAAGUAAAACCAAGUUAUCACCAAAGGGGUCAAAGUAAGGAUGAUGAAACUGCUUCUUCCAGUCCCUAUGGGAGAGAAACUGGAAGAUACACUCAUUUAAAUUCUCCAGAACCUCGACGAUCAGCUUAUGUAGUCUACCGGACUGUCACUCAAAAACCAAAAUUCAAUGGACCUACAGAGGACUGAAUCUAUUCUUUCUGCUGUUCAUGAUGGAUGGUACUUUCCUUCCUCUUACUCUGCUGUCUUCUUGAUGGUACAUGCUAUGUCAUUAAUUUGACAAGAAACCUACAGCAGUACCUGAAUCCUAUGGUCAGAAAGGCUCCAAACAAAAGAAUCAGCCUGACCCUAAUAGGAGAUUUUGGACACAAACAGAAAACUAUGGCAAAUAUACUUCAGGAUCUUCUAAUUCACCAGCUUGGAGGAAAAGAAAUCCACAAGCAAAACCAUUCUCUAAAUUUAAAAUAACCACUCAGCAGAGUAAAGAAGACGUUGAAGGGAAUAAAAAGGGAGAUAAAGAAACAUCUAAAGGGAAAUAAAGAAAUUAUCAACUGGAAUAUCCAAAGAUGAAGAAACUGCAAAUUCCAAAAAGAAGAUUCAGGAAGGAAGCAUACUACAGUGUUUCAAAACUGGUUAAAAAUUCUUAAAAGUAUGCUCUGCAUGGUGACAUAUAAAGAUCUAUAUGCACUAAGUUUAAUCUGCUAUAAACAUUUGGCAGUUGAAGUUGUUUUUGCAGACUACGGCUCUACACCAUAGAUGGAUAGUAAUAGCUCGCAGAGAAAAAAAUCCCUAAGCAGAGUCUUCCCCUUUUUUAUUUGAUAGACGUUUUAAGGCACAAUAUCUAAUGCAAAUAAAUACUACUAGUUAUACUUAGCAGUUUCAGAGGACUUUUAAUGUAAACAGCAAUAGAAUAAUGUAUUCUAGAAUGUGGUUUGCUGGUACAAAAGCCAUAUUCCUGGAUGGUUUAGCUGUUUUGCCAGGUGUUUGGGGACUCAAUCUGAAUUUGAUCGUUGCAAUUUUAGUGGAGCAGCAGGACUGUGUUAUGAACAAAAUGAAAUUCACAACAAAACUCUCAGAAUUAAGUGAGAUAUGUAUUUACAUGUGUUUCAAACUAGAAUAUGAAGAGUUGUAUAAACACUGAGAUGAAGACUGAUCAGAAGGAUACUUUUAUGUUGCUUUCUGGGGAAACAAACCUCAUACUGAAGCGUUUCUUGUACUUGGCUUCAUAUCUUUUUCUCAGACAUUUUUUGAAUUUUUUGCAUUUAGCUAACCUUUGGUCAUUCUUAGAACAUAAUCAGUUUUCUAAGAGAGUCCUUCAAAUUUCUUUCUGUGACACUAGGAUCCAGUACUAAUCUUGGUGGCACCUGUAACUGUGAGAAUGAAAGCAUUUUGCCACCUUGGAGCCUUUUCUUCUGUGACUGCUUAUAACAUGAGGUUGGAUCAGUUACCUUCCAAGGUACUUCUAGCUAAAAUUGUUCUAUGGUUCUAUGAGAAAUAUGGUCAUAUGUUCCUCUGCCCUACUUGAUUAUCUCAAUAGUGUUGUCAUUUUUAUUUUAUUUUGAAAUUAGUUUUUAAUCAUUUAAGUUAGAACAUGCUGUGCUGAUCAUAGACAUGUAUGCAGCUAUGCAUCACUUUUCUUAACUGGGAGAAGAAUAGAAAAAUCUAGAGGAUCUGGUUUAGCUAAGUAAAAAUGUACAAAAGAAGAAGCAUCCUUUUAAAAUCAAAGAGUAGGUGUGUUGGAAAUGUUCCCUCCACCUCUAAUUAGACAUUAGUGUUUCAAAUUGUAGCACAUGGUGCCUUGCAGCCACAUUUCACAUGUGGUCUAUCUGAGGCAAUUUAAAAUCUCAAUUCAAAGGGCGGUUGUAUCAAGUUACUUUUUAACAUCUUGAUAAAGGCUUUUAAUUCCCGUUUUUUCACAUAAAAGAAAUUUUUUUUUUUUUUUUACAUUUGCUAUUUGUCCAAUGUCUCUACAAUUUAGAGUAUUAAAUUUGAUAAGACUGUAAAUGGGCAUGGGCAAAUGUUGAUAUGCAGGUCUGAUUUUAGCAUUCCGUUAAAAAGUAUUUCAAUAUUUAAUUUGUGCAAGUGAUUAAUAUUGUUACUAUAUGGAUGUAUAAGUGCAGGUUGUGCUGUACUGCAUGUGCUGCCUGCUGGCUUGUGCCACACAGAUCCCUUACCAUAGGAGAAAAUCAGCAGCUCCUGCUUGGUGUAGGUGAUUACACUCCGUGCCAGGCCUCACCUUUAUUUAGCAGUGCAGCAAGUUGUCAGGUGCCAUCCUUUCUGUUUGACAGUAGAAAUGAGGAAUAGAGUUGGCUUCCUUGAGAAAAUCUUGUAGGAGUUCCAGUGACCAAAAUGGGGUGAUUUCACAUGGAUGGAAUCUGUAGGGUGUGCAGGGCUGUGGUCAGAGGCCCAUUUAUCUUAGGACUCACAGCAUCUGAAGGGUCAUAUGGGUAAUGCUACUAUCUUCCUUUUCUUUUUAGUGUGGUCUCAAAAAAUCAGGAUCUUAAGAGGUCCUUUAUAGAAUCUGAGCACCUUUCUGACUGGGAUCAUAAAGAAGAAGGCCCCUCCUGAUACAAUUUAACCCACUUUCCACCCUGAAAAACCAACUCAACAAACCAACCAAACAAAACAAAGCCAAAAGAAAAUAAUUUUCUAGCAUCUUAAGAUGUGAAUAUCCCAGCAGAUGGUUGGACUAUUGUCAGGCUUUUCUCAAGGGAAAGAUAGGGAAAUGCAACAAGAAAAUGAUGUGGCUAUGAGGGUAAUACUGGGCUGAUCCUCAAUUUUUGUGGGAUCAUACCUUCAGUGCUCUUUUCACUGGAGCUUCCUGUAGAGAAAUUACAAAUACUAUUCUUUUAGUCAUCACUUGCUCAAUCCAGAAAUCCACAGAUACCAAAAAAUACCUAAGCAUUGCACAUUUAAUAUAUGGCUCAACAGGAUAUUUGCAGUUCCUGUGAGGUGUUAGCUGCUCUUGACAGAAGUCAGAGGAACAUUUAGGAAUCAAGUGCUUUAUGUGAUCAAAUCCUUAAUUAAGAUUUCCCUUUAUCAGCUUCAAAGACACUAAGAUGCUCUAAAAUAAUAAAAAUACCUGUUUGUUUUCCAGAUCACUGUCCCUGUUAUACUCUUUAAUCUUGUCUUUUCUCUGUCAUUAAAGCCUCAGAGAGGAGUCAGAGGAAACUGAGAAUAUUCAGCAUUUCAUGCAGAUUGAUUGCAUUUCUGCACUUUUACAUAAUCAUUGCAUGACAGACCUCACCAUUGAUUUACACUUACAGUAGUUGAAAAUAAACUCUGAGAUAAUGAGCCAAAGAUCACAGGCAGAAAGCCACUGAAGCAGAGUUGAACGUGCUGUGGUAUUAAGUAUGUGUGUCCAUAAUCUGCUGCUGAAUUGGAAGGCCCAGGGGAGUAAGUGAUUUGCUUUCACCCUAGACAUGUUAAAAUAUGCUAAUGUUUUUCCAGGUGGUACUUCUAAAAGCACAUCAGAAAUCUAAUCCAGGUGAAUCAUAUUCCUUAGUAAGUAGAAUAACAGUAUUGCCACCUGUAUUUUGACAAAAGUUUGCAAAGCUUCUAGUCUGAGACUGCUUUCCUUAAUAAACCUGUAUGGCUAAAUCAAUGCCAUUAACUCAUCUCAGCAGCACUGAUAUUUUAAAUAUUCUGCUUAUUAAUUAAGGUAGGAAAGUCCAUCUCAAGUUAGCACCUGAACAAGGAAAACAUUGUUUUUUGUAAAAUAAAAGUGGAGUAAAAUGUCCCUGGCAAUUGUAGACAUGGUUUAAAAAUAAUUAUUUUGACAGUUUUCCCCUAAUAAAGAUAUUUUCUG